rnacentral:rRNA from 1 species
CCUACGGGCGGCAGCAGUGGGGAAUAUUGGACAAUGGGGGGAACCCUGAUCCAGCCAUGCCGCGUGUGUGAAGAAGGCCCUCGGGUUGUAAAGCACUUUCAGUGAGGAAGAACGCCUGGUGGUUAAUACCCAUCAGGAAAGACAUCACUCACAGAAGAAGCACCGGCUAACUCCGUGCCAGCAGCCGCGGUAAUACGGAGGGUGCGAGCGUUAAUCGGAAUUACUGGGCGUAAAGCGCGCGUAGGUGGCUUGAUAAGCCGGUUGUGAAAGCCCCGGGCUCAACCUGGGAACGGCAUCCGGAACUGUCAAGCUAGAGUGCAGGAGAGGAAGGUAGAAUUCCCGGUGUAGCGGUGAAAUGCGUAGAGAUCGGGAGGAAUACCGGUGGCGAAGGCGGCCUUCUGGACUGACACUGACACUGAGGUGCGAAAGCGUGGGUAGCAAACAGGAUUAGAUACCCGGGUAGUC